rnacentral:lncRNA from 1 species
CUGACUGCCUCCUCUCUCUGAAAAGCAAGUGCUGAGUUGGGGGCCAUCAGUAGUUCCAGGUCUUCGGUAAGUGGCAGAAUGAGUGACUAAGAAUGGAGUUCUCAUCUGACAGCGAUCUCUCAUCCCUAUUGUCUCCACCAGCUUCAUCUUGCCAUGUGGGAGCCCAGGAGUGUCUAUCGAGAGGAUUUCAGAAUCUCAACAGAAAUGUCAGCAGCAUCAGCAACAGAGUAAAGGUGCUUGAUAGCAAGACAGCAAAAGAAAUCGUGGAUGUCGGUUCAGCACCGUGAUGCUCGUACCGUCCACUGGAGCAGUUUGAAGAAAGACUUUCAUUAACAUACUUACACAGCAGUUGGCAUGCUUCCGGUGGCACAAUCAGGAUUCAAGGCAGAGCGCUUAAUGCCAAAGGGUAUUUCAUUGACACUCUCAGCACCAGAAUCUUCAAGGACUUCACCCCAGGCACAACGAUACUGAAGCAAAUGAACGUUUAGAGUGUUCUGAUAAAGAACGAUGGGU